AAGACGUUGAAGCUAAUCUCCUUUAUUUACACGAGCGUGUGCAUCCCAUGAACCUCCCGUGUUGCACGCGGUCUAAUUAACCAAAGAGGACGAACCCGUGGAGUCAAAACCGCGAGCAUUCUCACUCCUGCUCCACAGCAAUCACAAACACCGACUACUUAAACACCUAAUUGACGCACGCACGGAUCAUAAUAACCAUUUCAGCUGCAGCAGUAAAUUGGAUGGAGGGUUUGCAGUCCCCUCCCUCGGCACCUGCUCACACCAACCCCCCCCCCCCACCCCCCUCCGCCGAACCCCACCAGCACCACCAGCGCCCGCUGACGCUUUAAUAGAAUCUCCCACUGGCGGCGUAUGAAGGGAUGGAGGGUCCUCUCCCGUCGGGGGAGUCCUGCCCCGCUCUACAUCACACAGUCUCUACAGGUGACGGGCCGUCCUGCUGCCUGCCAAGUGAAAGAGGAAACGGGGGCCAUUACUCGAUGCUAAUUUGUCAUUCACAUGAAUGUUUUGCUGAGGAGGCUUUCAGGCCCCCCACCCCCCCCACCCCCCCUCCAUCCACCCAUCCCCCUCUUUGGAAGAGACAUUUGUUUUUCAGCUGGAAUAUCCUUCUCAGUGACAGUCGGGAGACUGCGAGUAUUGUUCUUUGAAGAAGAGGAGAAGCCCUCGGGGGCCGAAGGCCUCUUUUAUUCCCCUCUCGGCGGUUUCCUUUGUGAUGCGUCAGGUAGGGGUUCUAUCGCAAGAAUGAGAUUUAAAAGGGAAUUUAACCUGUGGAGCUGUUAAGUGUGAGGGCUACUAUGCAGUUGGCAUUUGUUUGAGAGUUAGUAUUUGGUCCACGAAAAUACACAGUGAUCACACGGUCGGUAUGACUCAUCCUCCAUUUUAUGGAAAUCCAAAUAUAGAUUUAUAAUUCACUGGGUGGAUGAAUAAAUGAUUGUCUUAAUGUCUUCCUGGGUUGUCUGCUAACUCGUUUUACCCCGUUUAUAUUCCUUGUUGAGCUGUAAUUGUGCGCCGUGAGUGUUUGGCCUUCGAGAGCAGCAGUCUGGGAAAAUAAAAUGGCAAAAUGUAUUUUAGAGGCUGACCUCGUCUAGAGUUUUUUUAAAGGUUCUCGAUGCAAUAUUCAGAACAUUAACCAUUGUGUA
ensembl:lncRNA